CAGAUUAAAGCUUUAAGCAUUUUAGUUACAUUAAAAAGAAUUUGUUAAAUCAAAAUAAUUUGA
rnacentral:tRNA from 1 species